rnacentral:lncRNA from 1 species
GAAGGUUCUUCUUAGGACUAGAUCUUCGGGCGAGAACUGCCGAAUCUUGGCCCUUUUGUUGUUGCUGGAGAGGAGCUGCUACUAGUAGGCUGCAAUUAGGGUAAUGGUCUACUCACACUUCUCCUCUGCCAGAGCUAAGCUUGUGGCCAUCUCCUUACUUUUCUGCUUAAUGCUUGGUAGUAGAGCGAUGAUACUUGGCUUGAUGAAAUUAGGAUGAAUGAUUACUUCUAAGCCAAAUGCCAAAGAGAAAGGAGUCACACCGGUUACUCGUCUUUUGGUGGUGUGAUAUGCCCAUAGACAUCCGAGGAGUUCGUCUGGCCAUUUUCCCUUCUUGUUGGUGAGGGAUUUUCUAAGGCAAUAAAGGAUCAUCUUGUUGGAUGCUUUGGCUAGCCUAUUGCCUUGAGGAUUGAAGGAAAAUCUUAGAGAUUAAUAUGGGAUUUCGAAAUGACUAGCUUGCAUAUACAAUUCAAAAUUAAUAUACAUAAGCAAUGGAAGCAUGUUAUCAAAUAAUAUCAAAGCUAUAGUCAUGCAAAUCCCCUUCAAGGUUCAUAGGUUUAUAAAUAUUCAUAGGUUUAUAAAUAAUGCAUCUAAAACUUUUAAGUUAAGAACAAAGUGAAGGAAUAGAUCUAUACCUCUUGAUCUAGAUUUUAGACCAAGGAUGGACCACCUCCAAGCCCUUUGCUCCUUGAACUCCUUGAGCCUAGCUUCCCUCCUUGCCUCCUCCACUUUGUUGGUAAGAGUGCUCCUAGGUUCUCCUUUAGUCUCCAAAGAAGAAGACCUCUAAAGAUCCACACCCACUAGUGUAGUGAGAUGGAUGGAGGAAUAACCAAAAGAGUGAAAAAGGAUUAGCUAAAUCACCCUUAAGGUGGCCGGCCUUUGUGUAGUUUUAGAGAGCUAUUUCUUUUGCCUCUUUGUUGUUUUAAACACACAAAAACCCUAAGGAAUAAAUCUCUAUAAAGUUCCUUAUAUAGACAAAAAGAAACCUAGUGAACAACUUGACUUAAUAUCUCUCCCUCUCCACUUUAAAUGGCCGGCCCCUUUGUGUUGGUUUGGGCUUUGGGCUUUUAUUUAUUUCUAGUCAUCCAAUGCUUGAAUAAAAGCCCAAUGGGUUUAGGCCCAAUGGGCCCAAUUAAACCCGAACGUUUCUUUAAGCCCAAAACGAUCUUUUAUCGCUUUUAUGAUUUCUUUAGACUUUCUAAAUUAAUCACAACACUUAAUUAAUCCAAUUAAUUAUUUCGAUCAUCCAUUAAUUACUCACCACAAGAGUGUAUCGGUGUACAAUAAUUUUAGGUUCUAAUUAGCAAGGUAGUGAGGUGAUUGACAUCAAUCCAAUUGAUUAUAUUUAAUUCAAUCACUUAGUGAAUUAAAACUUCCUUUUAAUUCACCUUCUUCUUUGAUGACUACAUUUAAUUAUCUAAAGAACUCACAAGCUAUGAGUGACAUCUAACCAUAUAUCAUAGCUACCCAAGCUAAUGUAGAAGUUGUUCGGAGAACCUAUUCAGUUGGAAUUACAAUGUAAUUCGAUCAUUCUCUAACACAAUACUCUCAAUCACAUUACUAAGGUAUGGAUAUAUUAUGUCAAACCCCUAAUGUGAUUAUUCCUUCUUAUAUGAUUCAAUUGAGUCGCAUAGGAACGCUUUCCUUUAUUACGCUCGAUACUUCGGCCGAAGAUUCCCGAAUCAUAUCUUAGAGUAUUCUUCCUCUCUUAUCAAGGAUUAGAGAUUCCUUGUUGCGCAUUCACUUGCCUUCAUGACUAAGUGGCUUAACCCCAAUUAUGCUGUGGACACCCGCGAAUGGGAUGACUUUGACAUAAUCAAAGAUUAAGUACUUAGCCACAAGACAACGACGAUGCCU